AAAAGAACUUUGAAGAGAGAGUUCAAUAGUACGUGAAACCGUUUAGAGGUAAACGGAUGGGACCGCAAGGCUCCCCGGGGAAUUCAACCUUCGAGUCGUCGUUCGGCGGCGUGUCGUGAUCCGCUGGACGCGCGCGUCGUCGAGUCGGCGUCGGUUGGUGCACUUUCCCCGGGACUAUCGCCAGGACCGGUUCGUGUGGUGACCAGAAGCCGCUGGGGGCAAGGUAGCCGUCUCGAGACGGUGCUUAGGCCCUCGCGGUGGGCUGCACUCGCGGACCGAGGAACACCCGCCGUGGCACGGGCCCCUCUCCCUCACUGUCGUCUCGACUUGCGUGGACUGUCUCCAGUGCUCGCAGACCGCCGGCGGUGCAGUGGCGGGGACCUCCCGUGUCGACACCCAGGGUCUCUGGCUAAUCGGUCGGCACCCCAUCCGACCCGUCUUGAAACACGGACCAAGGAGUCUAACAUGUACGCGAGUCACUGGGUGGCAAACCUAAAGGCGCAAUGAAAGUGAAGUUCGGCCUCGGUCGGAUCAGGUAGGAUCCCCGUUCCGUUUGGGCGGGGCGCACUACCGGCCCGUCUCGAUCUCUCGUAGGUGAGGCGGAGCAGGAGCGUACACGUUGGGACCCGAAAGAUGGUGAACUAUGCUUGAGUAGGACGAAGCCAGAGGAAACUCUGGUGGAGGUCCGUAGCGAUUCUGACGUGCAAAUCGAUCGUCAAACUUGGGUAUAGGGGCGAAAGACUAAUCGAACCAUC
rnacentral:rRNA from 1 species